UGAAUAGCUGUCCACUGUAGUGACCACUAUGCAUGAAAGGGUUAAAUAAAAAUAAAACCACGUGGAAGAAUUCCCACCAGCAUGUUAUAAAAUAUUUAUUUCAAUCUAAUGUAUUAUUUCUAUGGAAAAAUCGACAUUUUAUUGGUCAGUAGAAUUUUAUUCUUGUUGCUAUUUUUGCCUGCGCUGUGAUUGACUGUUGGAAGCGAGUGAUUCCAAACAACUUCCAAAAAUGAGCAAUGCUCAUUUAUUUGCAUUUUGUGUGGUAAUGCAGUAGCACAAUCAGCAGGAUCACAUAAACAUUCUCACAGGAUUUAGCAAAGUGUUCCACAAAUUUUUCAUGUGUACAGCCUUAAAGUCCAUCACCUAUUUUACUUGUAAUCCAGUGGAAACAGUAGCAAUCCGUUGUUUUUGUCUGUAUUUUCCUGAAGUCUCCAGAUCUAAAUUUGCCAAAUGAUCAUGGAGCAGAUGCCACACGGUUAACGGCUGAACCCGAGGAAGCAUGCGGAACAGAGCGUUCUCCUCCUGCACCUCCAUUAAACCCAGAAGUCAGUGAGCCUCCACAGAGGUCCAUGAAUGGUGGCACAGGAGGAAGCAGCUACAGCACGGUAAGUAAGCCUUCCCUCUGUUCCAUUACUGUAAAAUGCACUAUUGUUUUAUAUUUGAGAGGCACAACUGAAGGUUAGGUGUGAUUGUUAUGUCUUUUAUGGUUUUUGAAGUGACUUGUGAGAAAUGUGUAUUUAUGUUAGGCUGCCAGUGUAAGAUAAAGUGUGACUGCUUCGUUUGACUUUAGGCCACGAUUAAAAGUAUCUAAAUGUGAUUUGUGCUAAUGUUUUAGUAGCAGUUUUAAGAUUGUUGCACUUCAUAUGAUUGUUUCAUUGUAUAUUACUUCUAGCCCCUGCUUUAAGGGGGAAAUAAUAAUAUUUUUUUACCCUUUAACUAAACUCUAGUUGCCCUAAAAAUAAGUAACAGCGUGCUUUUAUCUCCUAAUGGAACAUGUGGAAGCAGGACACAAACAUUUAAUGAACUUGAAAAACCCUGUGCUAUAAAGGUAUGGUAUCAUGUUAUGAUGCAUUGUGCAUCUAAUCUAAUAUCCCAUUUAGGUCUAAGUUGAACCAUUAAAACAUACAAAUAUAUUUUUAUAAAAUAUUUGUGUCUGCCAUCUAGAUGUUUGCAGUCAGAGUAGCGAGAGCAGUGUUUAAGCAAAGAUUUAUCAAGUUUGGUCCACUCGUCUAGGAGGAGAUAAGGAACAUACAAACAUGCAAAAAUAGAUACAUAUGCUAGGAUUAUGACUGCCUUUAUUUUCUAUUAAAGUGAACACUUAUCUGCUUAAAGUUACAUAUGUAUGUAAUGAGUAGGGCAGCUCUGGCAGAUGAUAGGAAAUUAUACAAAUGGGUGGCUUUAAAUAGGCCCAAAUGACUAGACGGCACAUACAGAUGUUGGAAAAAUGUAUUUUUCACAGGACUCUAUGCAGACCUGCAAAAAUUUAAGUGUUGCUUCCAGAGGGUUUAAGCAGGUAAGUCACAGCCAGGUGCUGAUAAUCAAAUGACCUUGACUAAUCGAUCAUCAGCAAGUGUGAGCAUCUCUGGAAAAGUGGAGGCUUUGGCAGUUUGCUGGUCUUGAGCAUUCAGGUGUGUGUUAACAAAAUGCUGCGAUCUUCCAGUUAGUGGAGGUUCCAGUAAAUUUACCCCAAGAGAGUGGCUGAAAAAGAAAAGGUGUUGCAACCUGAUGGAAAUGCUGUGGCAAGGUCUCAGCAGAGCUGUGCAUAAUGCAAAAUGCCCAUAAACCUCAAUGAACUGAAGCAACACUUCAAGAUAAGUGAGCCAUAUU
rnacentral:lncRNA from 1 species